GAAAAUCCAAACUCUAGUCCUCAUGUUUGCGUGGCAACUGUUUAUCUGUGCCUUGAAUUCUGCUCCAUUUCCUGAGACUGACAGAUCAUAGGGGUCCCCAAUAGACAUAUCUACAUGAUAUCUCCUACAUCUCUGCCUCAAAGAACAGAAAGAAUGUGUCCAAAUACUACUAAGUCUGCUGUGAAAGAGUCUCUCCUAGAAACGGCUGCAUAAAGAAGACCAUUGAUAUAGCAACAUCAAUCAAUGGACAUGUUAACAUUGAAGAGAAGAAAUGUUGCAGGUCUCACACCUGGGACAAGAACUACAAACAACUAUUGACUGUCAGGAGAAGGAGAAUUAGCCUCUCCAAUGGGAAGCUGUACAUCAGAUCCAAGCCCAAAGACAACACCAUCCGCUGUUCCUGCAUAAAGAGCACAUGAACAUAGUCCAGAUAAUGUGGCUUUUGUCCUGUGGAGCAUGUUGACAUGCUUUCCUGCAAAGAGUGCUGAGGCUUGGAGUGUUCUCCGUUAUCCAGUGGAGUUGUUUUAUUGCCACAUGCAAAAGCAAUUGAGCCAUCCAGACCUCAUAUGAAUUUUGUUUUGGAAACUAUAAUACAUGUUUCUAGUACAUUCCUUUACAGCUAUAAACCCUGUGGUACCAGCA